rnacentral:rRNA from 1 species
CACUUGGGGAUAACCUUGUGAAAGUAAGACUAAUACCCAAUGACGUCUCUAGAAGACAUCUGAAAGAGAUUAAAAGAUUUUAUCGGUGAUGGAUGGGGAUGCGUCUGAUUAGCUUGUUGGCGGGGUAACGGCCCACCAAGGCGACGAUCAGUAGGGGUUCUGAGAGGAAGGUCCCCCACAUUGGAACUGAGACACGGUCCAAACUCCUACGGGAGGCAGCAGUGAGGAAUAUUGGUCAAUGGACGAGAGUCUGAACCAGCCAAGUAGCGUGCAGGAUGACGGCCCUAUGGGUUGUAAACUGCUUUUAUAAGGGAAUAAAGUGGGAGUCGUGACUCUUUUUGCAUGUACCUUAUGAAUAAGGACCGGCUAAUUCCGUG